UUAAAGCAGAAACUCUGCACAAAAGUUCUCUUGUAUCCUUUGGAACUGUGCAGAGGGAAGAGGAGGGUAUCUGUUAUUUUUAAGCAGCUGGAACCCUGGGGGAGUGCGGUCACUCCCUGCCCACGGAGGCUCAGCUUCUCCACGCACCGGUGGUGUGGUGUCAGUGCAGCGUGACCUGACCACUCCAGGGAGCAGAGGAAGAUUUGCGUGGUGUUUAAGAGCAUUCAAAGGCAGUUCUGUGUGUGGAAGGAUGGUGAGAAUAGGUCAGGAAAGUACUGUGUUUGGACAAGUGAGGGUGCUCGAGCUGCACUGAGGGAGAGGGGAAGGGCCUUUACCCACCCCAGGGGCUUCGGGAACAGGCUCUGGGUGGGAGCACAAGGGGGGACGAGGGGGCAGCUCGGUGGGGCUGUGGAGGUGCUGCACGACAGUGACACCGAGCCUCUCGAGGCUGGAGCCCCCCAAGAUCUGAAUCAAACUUUGCCAUUGCUUUUUCCAGCUGUUACUCAGCAGCUGUGGCUGGACCCUUAUGUAUCGGCAAUUGCAUCGUGAGCGUUCUGUGCUCGGCUAACCCUCUGUUUUAGGGAGAAGACAAUCCCGAGAGGAAUGGGCUGCCUGGAAAGGUAAUUCCAGCACGGGGUGGGGUCGCGACCACCGAGCACCGACCCUUGCUCAGAACAGACCCAAAUGAGGGCAGAGCUGUGCCCGCGGACCGAGCAGCACGAGAAGGGACAGACAACCAACAACCAGCGGCUUGAGCGCUCAUGAACGGGAAAGGGAUGUCACUGGAACCAAGGGAUGCCGCUAAACGAACAAACGGUGCAAAGCCUCGAAGAUGGCGGAGCGGGGACCCCUUUGAGAGAACCACCCGGCUCCUGCUGCCGUGGAAUGGAAUAAAACACAGCAAUCCCUCAGCUCGAGGAAGAUUUUCAGCUUGGAGAAUAAAAACCAUCUGAUUUCAUUCA